rnacentral:rRNA from 1 species
UACGUAGGGUGCGAGCGUUGCCCGGAUUUACUGGGCGUAAAGGGCUCGUAGGCGGCCAACUAAGUCGGACGUGUAAUCCCCAGGCUCAACCUGGGAACUGCAUCCGAUACUGGAUGGCUUGAAUUCGGGAGAGGGAUGCAGAAUUCCAGGUGUAGCGGUGAAAUGCGUAGAUAUCUGGAGGAAUACCGGUGGCGAAGGCGGCAUCCUGGACCGACAUUGACGCUGAGGAGCGAAAGCCAGGGGAGCAAACGGG